CAGAGGUCCCGAGCGUUAGGCGGAAUCACUGGGCUUAAAGCGUGUGUAGGCGGAUUUGUAAGUACCUUGUGAAUCCCACGGCUCAACCGUGGAACUGCUUGGUAUACUGCUUAUCUUGGGCCAUCUAGGGGCUACCGGAACAAGUGGUGGAGCGGUGAAAUGCGUAGAUAUCACUUGGAACGCCAAUGGUGAAAACAGGUAGCUGGGGAUGUGCCGACGCUGAGACACGAAAGCCAGGGGGAGCGAACGGGAUUAGAUACCCCGGUAGUCCUGGCUGUAAACGAUGUCGACUAGAUCGCAGUGGCUCUGACGCUAUUGCGGUCGAAGCAAAAGUGCUAAGUCGACCGCCUGGGAAGUACGGUCGCAAGGCUA
rnacentral:rRNA from 1 species